UACAGAGGGGGCAAGCGUUAUUCGGAAUUAUUGGGCGUAAAGGGCUCGUAGGUGGCCAACUAAGUCAGACGUGAAAUCCCUCAGCUUAACUGGGGAACUGCGUCUGAUACUGGAUGGCUUGAGUUUGGGAGAGGGAUGCGGAAUUCCAGGUGUAGCGGUGAAAUGCGUAGAUAUCUGGAGGAACACCGGUGGCGAAGGCGGCAUCCUGGACCAACACUGACACUGAUGAGCGAAAGCCAGGGGAGCAAACGGG
rnacentral:rRNA from 1 species